CCAAGGAGUCUAACAUGUGCGCGAGUCAUGGGGUUGUAAACCCAAAGGCGUAAUGAAAGUAAAGGUCAAUUCGGUUGACCGAGGUGAGAUCCCUGUAAGGGGCGCAUCACUGUCCCAUCGCAUCUACUUGUUAGAGCGGUGGAGAAAAAGCGUACACGUUGGGACCCGAAAGAUGGUGAACUAUGCCUGAGCAGGAUGAAGUCAUCGGAAACGGUGAUGGAGGUCCGUAGCGGUUCUGACGUGCAAAUCGAUCGUCAGACUUGGGCAUAGGGGCGAAAGACUAAUCGAACCAUCUAGUAGCUGGUUCCCUCCGAAGUUUCCCUCAGGAUAGCUGGCACUUAAACGCAGUUUUACCCGGUAAAGCGAAUGAUAAGAGGCCUUGGGGACGAAACGACCUCAACCUAUUCUCAAACUUUAAAUGGGUAAGAAGUCUCGCUUGCCUGACCGAAGCUCAGACAUUGAAUGCGAGUGCCAAGUGGGCCAUUUUU
rnacentral:rRNA from 1 species